AAUAAUAAAGUAAAAAAGCCUGAUAUAAUCCGGUAAUAUGGUCCGGAGUUUCUACAAAAAGCCGUAAACUUUUUACUAUUGGGUGAGGGUAACAAAUG
rnacentral:ncRNA from 2 species